GGUGGUAACUGCGAUGGGGGAACGGAGAAGGCUAGGUUGUCCGGGCGACGGUCGUCCCGGUUCAAGCAGGUAGGCAGAGUGAUUAGGCAAAUCCGGUCACUUAAUGCUGAGAUGUGAUGACGAACCACCAAGGUGGUGAAGCAAUUGAUGCCCCGCUUCCAGGAAAAGCCUCUAAGCUUCAGGUUACCAACAAUCGUACCCCAAACCGACACAGGUGGUCAGGUAGAGAAUACUCAGGCGCUUGAGAGAACUCGGGUGAAGGAACUAGGCAAAAUGGUGCCGUAACUUCGGGAGAAGGCACGCUGGCGGUAGGUAAAGUCCCUCGCGGACAGAGCUGAAGCCAGUCGAAGAUACCAGCUGGCUGCAACUGUUUAUUAAAAACACAGCACUGUGCAAACACGAAAGUGGACGUAUACGGUGUGACGCCUGCCCGGUGCUGGAAGGUUAAUUGAUGGGGUCAGCCGUAAGGCGAAGCUCCUGAUCGAAGCCCCAGUAAACGGCGGCCGUAACUAUAACGGUCCUAAGGUAGCGAAAUUCCUUGUCGGGUAAGUUCCGACCUGCACGAAUGGCGUAAUGAUGGCCAGG
rnacentral:rRNA from 1 species